rnacentral:tRNA from 3 species
GGGUCGUUAGCUCAGUUGGUAGAGCCGUUGACUUUUAAUCAAUUGGUCGCAGGUUCGAAUCCUGCACGACCCACCA